GUCCAUGGCCAUACCACCCUGAACACGCCCAAUCUCGUCUGAUCUUGGAAGCUAAGCAGGGUCAGGUCUGGUUAGUAUUUGGAUGGGAGACCGCCUGGGAAUACCGGGGUGCUGUUGGGU
rnacentral:rRNA from 1 species